rnacentral:rRNA from 1 species
UCUCUGGGCCUUUCCUGACGCUGAGGAGUGAAGCUUGGGGAGCGAACAGGCUUAGAUACCCUGGUAGUCCACGCUGUAAACGGUGGGUACUAGGUGUGGGGUCCAUUCCACGGGUUCCGUGCCGUUGCUAACGCUUUAAGUACCCCGCCUGGGGAGUACGGCCGCUUGGCUAAAACUCAAAUGAAUUGACGGAAUCACUAGUGAACUCCCACCAUGGGACUGAGAUACGGCCCAGACUCCUACGGGAGGCAGCAGUGGGGAAUAUUGCACAAUGGGCGGAAGCCUGAUGCAGCAACGCCGCGUGCGGGAUGACGGCCUUCGGGUUGUAAACCGCUUUCGCCUGUGACGAAGCGUGAGUGACGGUAAUGGGUAAAGAAGCACCGGCUAACUACGUGCCAGCAGCCGCGGUGAUACGUAGGGUGCGAGCGUUGUCCGGAUUUAUUGGGCGUAAAGGGCUCGUAGGUGGUUGAUCGCGUCGGAAGUGUAAUCUUGGGGCUUAACCCUGAGCGUGCUUUC